rnacentral:rRNA from 1 species
UACGUAGGCAGCAAGCGUUGUUCGGAAUUACUGGGCGUAAAGAGUGUGUAGGCGGCCACUUAAGUCCUGCGUGAAAUCUUGCGGCUCAACCGCAAGCGGUCGUGGGAAACUGGGUGGCUAGAGUGCGGGAGAGGAGAGUGGAAUUCCUGGUGUAGCGGUGGAAUGCGCAGAUAUCAGGAAGAACACCCGUGGCGAAGGCGGCUCUCUGGAACGCAACUGACGCUGAGACGCGAAAGCGUGGGGAGCAAACAGGAUUA